rnacentral:lncRNA from 1 species
UCGUGAAGCAUGUGUGGAGGUUCACUAAUCCAUUUUAUGCUUGAAAAACUCCUUUAUUCCUUUUAUUCUUUUAGUUUGUUGUAUCCGUGCUGUGUCGGUCUAGUACUUCUUGUUUGUAAAGAGAAUAUGCCCCCGUGCAGUUGGCAUUUUGAUUAUUCCUUCAUGUAAACAAAAAUUAAAGAUUGGGGUGUUACAAUGAUAGAUUAAACCCCAUUCUAUUUAAUUGUGUGCACUCAUCCAGGGCCACAUGCCCCCCUCCUCCAAUUGCCAUUUAUGAACAUACCAUUUACCCUCUCUUUCUCCACACCAUCUUUCUUAC